UGCAAGUCGAACGAGAAAAUCCUUCGGGAUGAGUACAGUGGCGCACGGGUGAGGAACGCGUAGGUAAUCUACCCUCUGGCGGGGGACAACACUCCGAAAGGAAUGCUAAUACCGCAUAAGACCACGCGUACUACGGUACGAGUGGUAAAAGGCGCCUCAAAGCGUCACCAGAGGAUGAGCCUGCGUCCCAUCAGCUAGUUGGUGAGGUAACGGCUUACCAAGGCGAAGACGGGUAGCUGGUCUGAGAGGAUGAUCAGCCACACUGGCACUGAAACACGGGCCAGACUCCUACGGGAGGCAGCAGUGAGGAAUAUUGGGCAAUGGGCGCAAGCCUGACCCAGCCACGCCGCGUGUGUGAUGAAGGCCUUCGGGUCGUAAAGCACUGUGGAGAGGGACGAAAACAUGCAGGAGGAAAUGCCUGCGUCUUGACGGUACCUCUUUAGCAAGCACCGGCUAACUCUGUGCCAGCAGCCGCGGUAAUACAGAGGGUGCAAACGUUGCUCGGAUUUACUGGGCGUAAAGCGCGUGUAGGCGGAUACGCAAGUCGGUUGUGAAAUCCCUGGGCUCAACCUAGGAACUGCAUCCGAAACUGUGUGUCUUGAGUAAUGGAGAGGGUGGCGGAAUUCCCGGUGUAGAGGUGAAAUUCGUAGAUAUCGGGAGGAACAUCUGUGGCGAAGGCGGCCACCUGGACAUUUACUGACGCUGAGACGCGAA
rnacentral:rRNA from 1 species